AUUGAACGCUGGCGGCAGGCCUAACACAUGCAAGUCGAACGGUAACAGGAAGAAGCUUGCUUCUUUGCUGACGAGUGGCGGACGGGUAAGUAAUGUCUGGGAAACUGCCUGAUGGAGGGGGAUAACUACUGGAAACGGUAGCUAAUACCGCAUAACGUCGCAAGACCAAAGAGGGGGACCUUCGGGCCUCUUGCCAUCGGAUGUGCCCAGAUGGGAUUAGCUAGUAGGUGGGGUAACGGCUCACCUAGGCGACGAUCCCUAGCUGGUCUGAGAGGAUGACCAGCCAACCUGGAAUUGAGAACCGGCCCAGACCCCUAGGGGGGGAAGCGGGGGGGAAUUUGGAAAAAGGGGGGAAAGCCUGAUGCAGCCAUGCCGGGGGGAGGAAGAAGCCUUUCGGGUUGAAAAGUAUUUUCCGGGGGGAGGAAGGGAGUAAAGUUAAAACCUUUGCCCAUGGCCGUUACCGGAAAAAGAAGCCCCGGCUAACUCCGU
rnacentral:rRNA from 1 species